UGCAAUGUGACCAGCCACCUUGAGAUCCUGGAACCAUGGCUCUCCUGCUAGGAUGGACUGUACCAUUAAACUGUUGCUCACCAUUGUCUCCCUGGUGUGAGCUCAUCAUCUAAGACUGUCCUGGCUGGCAGUCCUUCUCUGCCUUUUCUCACUCCAGAAGACUCAGCUUCUCAUAUACUCCACAAUAGGCUCUAAACGGACCCUAUAGCUGAAAACUGCCUCGCUAAGUUCUGCUGAAGGAACAGAAAAGUGGAGGGGAGAUAAAGGGUAAGUCUAGGAUUAUAACAGCGAUUCACCUAUAAAGCCACAAUUACAAAGAUUCAUAGGCAUCAGAGACUGGUGCAGGGUACUAAGCCUGUUUAUGAGCCAGUAUAUCAGCCACAACCCUUUGUUUUGUUAAUGUUGCCUGGGAACUAAUGUCAUUAACUUAGAAAUAUGAUCUUAUCGCAAGCAGAACCAAGUUGCUAGAACUUCUUUAUCCAGACUUUGUUUGUCUUGGGAAGACAUUCAUUCAACAGUAUUUGCUGAGAGCCUUUUCGCUGUGAUGAGUUCUAACCUUAGUACAGCACUCAGCAACACAGAACAAAAUCAAUCCUUUUUAGAAUGCACACUCUGGAUAGGGUGUCUCAAUACUAAUGAAAAGCUACAUACGUAACUCCCAAGCUAUACCUCAAAUAAACUCCAUCACUCUGUACACGGGCAUAAUGUGAGAAACUGAUCCAGUCUGAAGAUCAGACAAAGACCCGAGGAGGAAAAUCACAUCUGAAGUCUGACAAGUAAUUUGAUGUUGAAUAGCUGAAGGGAGGGUGCAAGUAAGGUCGGGUGUGUAAAGGCUCUGUGGUAGAAGAGAGAGAGCCUUGGGAGUCUGGACGACUGGAAGGAAAUCCAUAGUUGCAACAAAGAAUGGGAUGUGGAUGACAGUGGACAAGGUCAAACCAAGCACAUACUGUGGUGAGGAUUUAAGCUGGAGUAACAGUACACAUUCUUAGACAUGGGCUUUAAAACGUUUAAAUCUUGAUGCUGUGUGGUGACUGGGUUAUGGAUUCCUUUGCCAAGAAGGGAGGCAAAAAGACUGAACUGUGGGUUAUUGCUAAGGCCCCAAGGUGAGGAAGUUGGACUGCAAUAGAUAUUGUGUGACUUUUUCUGGAAGGAUGUUUGUUCAUCCCAGGUAAGCUGCUAAUAGCAGAGCAAAGAAACAAUUCUGCUCCAGUGUGUUUAUUGAGUUCACUAAUGAAAAUGUGAAAUGCCUACUUACAGACACACAUGUGACAAAGCACAAGGUGGAAAAUGUCCCCUGUGUGGUAAAGACAAGAACUGAAUCCUGGAGUUCUCCAAUGAACUUGAAGGCAGUUCCACCAAAGAGUUUCCUCCCCAAGAAAAUAAUUAUUUUAAAAACUUGAGAAAGACCUUGUGACUCUUAUAGCUUUCUGAGCUUCCUGAACCUCUUUAGUUUCAGGGACUGAGUCUUUCAAGUUUGCUCAGCUUCCUGAGUUUGAGCCCUCCUUCUUCACAAGGGAAUGUUUCAACUCAAAGGAAAUGGCUGCAGUGAAGAGGAACCACAGGAACAUUUCUAGAAGAGAUCCAAGAAGUCAAAAUGGAGCCUGAACCAGACAAAGUCUCUGAUUAAAAGGUACCCCCCAGAGGAGGAGCAGAAAAGAAUCUUUUUAAGAAAAUAA
rnacentral:sRNA from 1 species